rnacentral:lncRNA from 1 species
AUGUGCGUUCUCGGUAGGAGGUGGAUUCGGAGGCUAGGAGUAUCUCUCCUGACUGGUUACAUGUUACUGUUGAACAUGUGUGUGUCUGUGUGGUGUGUGUGUGUGUGUGUAUGUGUGGAGGGUGUGUGUCUGUGUCUAUGUCUGUGUGUGUGUGUCUAUGUCUGUGUGUGUGUGUGUGUGUAUGUCUGUGUGUGUGUCUAUGUCUGUGUGGAGGGUGUGUGUGUUUGUGUAUGUGUGGAGGGUGUGUGUCUGUGUCUGUCUGUGUGUGUGUCUAUGUCUGUGUGUGUGUGUGUGUGUGUAUGUCUGUGUGUGUGUGUGUGUGUGUGUCUAUGUCUGUGUGUGUCUGUGUCUAUGUCUGUGUGUGUGUGUGUGUCUAUGUCUGUGUAUGUGUGUGUCUAUGUCUGUGUCUGUGUGUGUCUAUGUCUGUGUGUGUGUGUGUCUAUGUCUAUGUCUGUGUAUGUGUGGAGGGUGUGUGUCUGUGUAUGUGUGGAGGGUGUGUGUGUCUGUGUUUGUGUAUGUGUGGAGGGUGUGUGUGUCUAUGUCUGUGUGUGUGUGUGUCUGUGUCUAUGUCUGUGUGUGUGUGUGUGUGUGUGUGUGUGUGUGUGUGUGUGUGUGUGUCUAUGUCUGUGUAUGAGGGUGUGUGUCUGUGUAUGUGUGGAGGGUGUGUGUGUCUAUGUCUGUGUGUGUGUGUGUCUAUGUCUGUGUAUGUGUGUGUGUGUGUCUGUGUUUGUGUAUGUGUGUGUGUGUGUGUCUGUGUUUGAGUAUGUGUGUGUGUAUGUCUGUGUCUAUGUCUGUGUAUGUGUGUGUCUAUGUCUGUGUAUGUGUGUGUGUGUGUGUGUGUGUGUGUGUGUGUCUGUGUUUGUGUGUGUAUGUGUUUGUGUAUGUGUGUGUGUGUGUCUGUGUUUGUGUAUGUGUGUGUCUAUGUCUGUGUAUGUGUGUGUGUGUGUCUGUGUUUGUGUGGAGGGUGUGUGCUCCUGUUGCUCAAGCCAGCGUUGUCAGACCAAAGGUUGA